rnacentral:rRNA from 1 species
GAUGGGCUCGAGUCCAAUUAGCUAGAUGGUGAGAUAACAGCCCACCAUGGCAACGAUUGGUAGCCGGCCUGAGAGGGUGAUCGGCCACACUGGAACUGAGACACGGUCCAGACUCCUACGGGAGGCAGCAGUGGGGAAUAUUGGGCAAUGGGCGAAAGCCUUACCCAGCAAUGCCGCGUGUAUGAAGAAGGUCUUCGGAUUGUAAAGUACUAUAUUGGGGAAGAACACAAUGACGGUACCCAAGAGAAAAAGCCCCGGCUAACUAUGUGCCAGCAGCCGCGGUAAUACAUAGGGGGCUAGCUUUGUCCGGAAUUACUGGGCGUAAAGGGUGCGUAGGUGGCAAUGUAUGUUGGAAGUGUAAUCCCUCGGGCUUAACUCAGGGGCUGCUUCCAAAACUGCAUUACUUGAGUGUCGGAGAGGAAAACGGAAUUCCUAGUGUAGCGGUGAAAUGCUCAGAUAUUAGGAGGAACACCAGAGGCGAAGGCGGUUUUCUGGACGACAACUGACGCUGAGGCACGAAAGCGUGGGGAGCGAUUGGGAUUAGAUACCCCAGUAGUCCACGCCGUAAAUGAUGGGUACUUGAUGUUGGGAGUAUCAACUCUUCCAGUGUCGUAGCAAACGCGAUA